rnacentral:rRNA from 1 species
AUUGAACGCUGGCGGCAUGCCUUACACAUGCAAGUCGAACGGCAGCACGGGAGGAAUCCUGGUGGCGAGUGGCGAACGGGUGAGUAAUAUAUCGGAACGUGCCCAGUCGUGGGGAUAACGUAGCGAAAGCUACGCUAAUACCGCAUACGAUCUAUGGAUGAAAGCGGGGGAUCGCAAGACCUCGCGCGAUUGGAGCGGCCGAUAUCAGAUUAGGUAGUUGGUGAGGUAAAGGCUCACCAAGCCGACGAUCUGUAGCUGGUCUGAGAGGACGACCAGCCACACUGGGACUGAGACACGGCCCAGACUCCUACGGGAGGCAGCAGUGGGGAAUUUUGGACAAUGGGCGCAAGCCUGAUCCAGCAAUGCCGCGUGCAGGAUGAAGGCCUUCGGUUGUAACUAGCUUUGUUACGGAACG